rnacentral:rRNA from 1 species
UGACGGAGCACGCCGCGUGAGGGAUGAAGGCCUCUGGGCUGUAAACCUCUUUUAUCAAGGAAGAAAAUCUGACGGUACUUGAUGAAUAAACCACGGCUAAUUCCGUGCCAGCAGCCGCGGUAAUACGGGAGUGGCAAGCGUUAUCCGGAAUUAUUGGGCGUAAAGCGUCCGCAGGCGGCCCUUCAAGUCUGCUGUUAAAAAGUGGAGCUUAACUCCAUCAUGGCAGUGGAAACUGUUGGGCUUGAUUGUGGUAGGGGCAUAGGGAAUUCCCGGUGUAGCGGUGAAAUGCGUAGAUAUCGGGAAGAACACCAGUGGCAAAGGCGCUCUGCUGGGCCAUCACUGACGCUCAUGGACGAAAGCCAGGGGAGCGAAAGGGAUUAGAUACCCCUGUAGUCCUGGCCGUAAACGAUGAACACUACGUGUCGGGGGAAUCGACCCCCUCGGUGUCGUAGCCAACGCGUUAAGUGUUCCGCCUGGGGAGUACGCACGCAAGUGUGAAACUCAAAGGAAUUGACGG